rnacentral:rRNA from 1 species
UGUACAAUGACUCUUGGCAACGGAUAUCUCGGCUCUUGCAUCGAUGAAGAACGUAGCGAAAUGCGAUACUUGGUGUGAAUUGCAGAAUCCCGUGAACCAUCGAGUCUUUGAACGCAAGUUGCGCCCGAAGCCAUUAGGUCGAGGGCACGUCUGCCUGGGUGUCACA